rnacentral:rRNA from 1 species
UACGUAGGGUGCAAGCGUUGUCCGGAAUUAUUGGGCGUAAAGAGCUCGUAGGCGGUUUGUCGCGUCUGCUGUGAAAUCCCGCGGCUCAACUGCGGGUCUGCAGUCGAUACGGGCAGGCUAGAGUUCGGUAGGGGAGACUGGAAUUCCUGGUGUAGCGGUGAAAUGCGCAGAUAUCAGGAGGAACACCGGUGGCGAAGGCGGGUCUCUGGGCCGAUACUGACGCUGAGGAGCGAAAGCGUGGGGGAGCAAACAGG